rnacentral:rRNA from 1 species
UACGUAGGGUGCGAGCGUUGUCCGGAAUUAUUGGGCGUAAAGAGCUCGUAGGCGGUGUGUCACGUCGGCCGUGAAAACCUGCAGCUUAACUGUGGGCGUGCGGUCGAUACGGGCAUCACUGGAGUUCGGCAGGGGAGACUGGAAUUCCUGGUGUAGCGGUGAAAUGCGCAGAUAUCAGGAGGAACACCGGUGGCGAAGGCGGGAUCCUGGGCCAGUACUGACGCUGAGGAGCGAAAGCGUGGGGAGCAAACAGG